rnacentral:rRNA from 1 species
UGACCUCAAAUCAGGUCGG